rnacentral:lncRNA from 1 species
CCAGCAGCUCCCCUUUUUUUCCAGACAAGGGUGUGAACCUGCCUGGGAAUGAGGCCUGGUCUUGUGGAUGGACUUAGCUUCGCGGGGCAUAUCGCUCUGGCCCAGGGUGGUAGGUAAU